AGUGAACGCUGGCGGUAGGCCUAACACAUGCAAGUCGAACGGCAGCACAGGAGAGCUUGCUCUCUAUGUGGCGGGUGGCGGGCGGGUGAGGAAUACAUCAGAAUCUGCCCAGUCGUGGGUGAUAACGUAGGGAAACUUACGCUAAUACCGCAUACGACCUGCUGGUGGAAGGGGGGGAGCGCAAUACCUCUGGCGGGUGGGUAAGCCGAUGUCGGAUUAGCUAGUUAGCGGGGUAAUGGCCCACCAAGGGGACGAUCCGUAGCUGGUGUGAGAGGAUGAUCAGCCACACUGGAACUGAGACACGGUCCAGACUCCUACGGGAGGCAGCAGUGGGGAAUAUUGGACAAUGGGCGCAAGCCUGAUCCAGCCAUACCGCGUGGGUGAAGACGGCCUUCGGGUUGUAAAGCCCUUUUGUUGGGAAAGAAAUCUUUCAGGCUAAUACCCUGGGAGGAUGACGGUACCCAAAGAAUAAGCACCGGCUAACUUCGUG
rnacentral:rRNA from 1 species